GGGCAUCCCUGUCAGAGCGUCACC
rnacentral:rRNA from 1 species